rnacentral:rRNA from 1 species
GGGCCCGCACAAGCGGUGGAGCAUGUGGUUUAAUUCGAUGAUACGCGAGGAACCUUACCAGGGCUUAAAUGCAGUUGGACAGGUCUGGAAACAGACCCUUCUUCGGACUAAUUGCAAGGUGCUGCAUGGUUGUCGUCAGCUCGUGCCGUGAGGUGUUGGGUUAAGUCCCGUAACGAGCGCAACCCUUGUCCUUAGUUGCCAGCACGUAAUGGUGGGAACUCUAGGGAGACUGCCGGUGACAAACCGGAGGAAGGUGGGGACGACGUCAGGUCAUCAUGGCCCUUACGACCUGGGCUACACACGUGCUACAAUGGCUGGUACAGAGGGUUGCGAAGUCGCGAGGCGAAGCUAAUCCCUUAAAGCCAGUCGUAGUCCGGAUCGGAGUCUGCAACUCGACUCCGUGAAGUCGGAAUCGCUAGUAAUCG